rnacentral:tRNA from 1 species
GGGCAUGUAGCUCAAUUGGCAGAGCGAGCGUCUUAUACACGCUUGGUUCCAGGUUCAAGUCCUGGCAUGCCCACUA